rnacentral:rRNA from 1 species
UCUACGGGUGGCUGCAGUGAGGAAUAUUGGUCAAUGGGCGUGAGCCUGAACCAGCCAAGUCGCGUGAGGGAUGAAGGUUCUAUGGAUCGUAAACCUCUUUUAUAAGGGAAUAAAGUGCGGGACGUGUCCCGUUUUGUAUGUACCUUAUGAAUAAGGAUCGGCUAAAUCCGUGCCAGCAGCCGAGGUACUACGGAGGAUUCGUGCGUUAUCCGGAUUUAUGGGGUUUAAAGGGUGGGUAGGGGGACUUUUAAGUUAGUGGUGAAAGUUUGUGGCUCAAACACAGAAGUGCCGUUGAAACUGGGUGUCUUGAGUGUGUUGGAGGCAGGCGGAAUGCGUGGUGUAGCGGUGAAAUGCAUAGAUAUCACGCAGAACCCCGAUUGCGAAGGCAGCCUGCCGGGCCAUGACUGACGCUGAUGCACGAAAGCGUGGGGAUCAAACAGGAUUAGAUACCCGUGUAGUC